UUUCCUUGAAAAUUGUGUUAUUAAAUACUUAUGAUUUGUGUAAAAAUGUGUACUUAUUUUCUAUUUUUAUUCUAUAAAUAAUUGUACGGUAGAAUAAUGCUAUUCACAAUUGAUUGUCUCUGCUCACAAAAUGGGACAGCUUUAAGGUCUGUGGGGAACACAAAAGUCAGUUUCAUGGUGGAACUGUAUUUCCACAAUAUACGGCUUGGAUAUAAUUGCACAUACUGUUUCACGUAUUAGCAGUUAACAUUGUUUACAUCUAUUCUAGAUUCUAGAUUCGCUCAUCUGUAAACAAUCCUAAUCCUAAUCACAAAACUCCUCUAGGGUUCUCUUAUUCCAACUAACUAAUACUCUCACCCGCAAAGUACUUCAUCAUCGUAUCUCUGGAGUGGGGCACAGUGGACUUCGAUGAGUAUGAAUAUAUAUCUUAAAAACCCCGUUGAAGAAAACAACGCCGACAAAGAGAAGGAAAGGACAGAAUAUGACUAUCGCAAAAUAGGAGAUAGAGACGAAGUCGAUGACUACAAUGAUUAUGAGGAUUAUUCUGGAGAGGCAACAUCGGCUCAGUUGUGUAGAUAAGGAAACCCAAACUCUGAAGAUUAUUCCUCUCCUUUCAGGACCUGAUCAGACGACAAUAUUUAAGUAUAAUCGCAAGAUGAUGAAUGAUGUCAGUUCAGUUGUUGCACCUGUUGGUAGCACUAUUACGGCAACAC